rnacentral:rRNA from 1 species
CAGUCGCCGCGGGAAUACGUAGGGUGCGAGCGUUAAUCGGAAUUACUGGGCGUAAAGCGUGCGCAGGCGGUUAUAUAAGACAGAUGUGAAAUCCCCGGGCUCAACCUGGGACCUGCAUUUGUGACUGUAUAGCUAGAGUACGGUAGAGGGGGAUGGAAUUCCGCGUGUAGCAGUGAAAUGCGUAGAUAUGCGGAGGAACACCGAUGGCGAAGGCAAUCCCCUGGACCUGUACUGACGCUCAUGCACGAAAGCGUGGGGAGCAAACAGGAUUAGAUACCCCAGUAGUCCCUGUCUCUUAUAC